rnacentral:rRNA from 1 species
UACGUAGGGUGCGAGCGUUGUCCGGAGUUAUUGGGCGUAAAGGGCUCGUAGGCGGUUUGUCGCGUCGGGAGUGAAAUCCACUGGCUUAACUGGUGGCUUGCUUUCGAUACGGGCAGACUGGAGGUAUGCAGGGGAGAACGGAAUUCCUGGUGUAGCGGUGAAAUGCGCAGAUAUCAGGAGGAACACCUGCGGCGAAGGCGGGUUGCUGGGCUGACACUGACGCUGAGGCGCGAAAGCUAGGGGAGCGAACGGG